AUUGAACGCUGGCGGCAUGCUUUACACAUGCAAGUCGAACGGUAACAGGCCGCAAGGUGCUGACGAGUGGCGCACGGGUGAGUAAUGCAUCGGAACGUGCCCAGUCGUGGGGGAUAACUACUCGAAAGAGUAGCUAAUACCGCAUACGAUCUAUGGAUGAAAGCGGGGGACCGUAAGGCCUCGCGCGAUUGGAGCGGCCGAUGUCAGAUUAGGUAGUUGGUGGGGUAAAGGCUCACCAAGCCAACGAUCUGUAGCUGGUCUGAGAGGACGACCAGCCACACUGGGACUGAGACACGGCCCAGACUCCUACGGGAGGCAGCAGUGGGGAAUUUUGGACAAUGGGCGCAAGCCUGAUCCAGCAAUGCCACGUGCAGGAAGAAGGCCUUCGGGUUGUAAACUGCUUUUGUACGGAACGAAACGGCUCUGGUUAAUACCCGGGGCUAAUGACGGUACCGGAAGAAUAAGCACCGGCUAACUACGUG
rnacentral:rRNA from 1 species